rnacentral:rRNA from 1 species
AGCAGCCGCGGUAAUUCCAGCUCCAAUAGCGUAUAUUAAAGUUGUUGCAGUUAAAAAGCUCGUAGUUGAAUUUCGGGGUCAGCAGGUCGGUCGUGCCAAUGGUAUGCACUGGCCUUGCUGAUUCCUCCCUCUUGAUGAGCCGUAAUGCCAUUAAUUUGGUGUUGCGGGGAAUCAGGACUGUUACUUUGAAAAAAUUAGAGUGUUUAAAGCAGGCAAGCGCUUGAAUACAUUAGCAUGGAAUAAUGAAAUAGGACGUUCGAUCUUAUUUUGUUGGUUUCUAGGAUUGACGUAAUGAUUAAUAGGGAUAGUUGGGGGCAUUAGUAUUCAAUUGUCAGAGGUGAAAUUCUUGGAUUUAUUGAAGACUAACUACUGCGAAAGCAUUUGCCAAGGAUGUUUUCAUUAAUCAAGAACGAAAGUUAGGGGAUCGAAGACGAUCAGAUACCGUCGUAG